rnacentral:rRNA from 1 species
CCCUUAGAUGUUCUGGGCCGCACGCGCGCUACACUGAUUCAUGCAACAAGUUUUGUCCUUGGCUGAUAGGCCUGGGUAAUCUUUGAACGUGAAUCGUGAUGGGGAUAGAUGAUUGCAAUUAUUCAUCUUCAACGAGGAAUUCCUAGUAAACGCAAGUCAUCAGCUUGCAUUGAUUACGUCCCUGCCCUUUGUACACACCGCCCGUCGCACCUACCGAUUGAAUGGUCCGGUGAAAUCUUCGGAUCUGAGAGAUGUCUGAUUAAUUUCGGACGCCUUUUGGAAAAGUUGCUUAAACCUUACCAUUUAGAGGAAGGAGAAGUCGUANCA